GCCGUAAAGUUAUAGGACCAGUAAACGGUGAUCUGAUGAGUCCCAGCUUACAUACUGUGUCGAACUUUAAUAAGAAAAGGAAUUCAAUUUCGUUCGUUCGGGUCUUAUUUGGGGAACGAAAGUGGAAUGACAAAAUUACCCAUAUAAAUAGGGGUGUAAAUUUUUAUAAGUGAUAUUUAUCGUGAAAACUACCAGCAAACCCAAUUUUCCGUUUUUUUCCACCCACAAAUCCACCGGCGAGAAACUUCACGCGAGCCCCCAUUAUCGGGGAUAAAAUUAUUUGCAGACCCAUACUUUUAGAAUUUAUGCUUUCGUUUUUUUAGUUCCUAAACUAACCUCCCCUGUCUUCUUCUUCGUUUCCGUUUCGUUUAUUUUGAGAAAAAAUUAUUCUGAUCUCGUCACGGAGGAUUUGAGAGAUCAAUCAUACGAAACUCAAUCUUAGGAUGAAGAUUAUCAUCUACUGUUAAAUAUGAAGAUUAAACUACGAAGAGAUAGUCAUGAGUAGUUUGGGUUUUGCAAAUUGAUGUUUUCCUUGGAGUUUUCCGUCUACCAAAAUUGUAUUCUACAUAUUAGAGACACUUAAUCAAAAGAGGUGGCAAUGGUGCUGGUGGGGGUGUAGAUGAUGGUGAAGGUGUUGGCGGUGAAGCCGGGAGAGGUCAAAAGGCAACAGGAGGUGAUAAGAACGGUCGAGAAAUCCGCCAGUUUAGUAUGAAAGGUGAGUCUUAUUUGCUGAUCAUGGGGCUGAAGAAAUUGAUUGUGAAAUGAAAAUCUUCAGGAGUUUUAUGUUAAGCUUUGCUGGGAUUGGCAACAAAACAAAGAUAGAGGGAUUUGUUAACUCGCCAAUAUAAAUUUGAGAUUAAGAUUAUGCCCCUUGCUUAAAAUGUAAUAUUAAUGUUAGUCAGUAGGCUUUAUUCUAUUUGUAACUUGUGUAUCAUGUUCAAGAAGAAAUGGUAUGUUGUUGGAAAACAAAAUUGGACUUUGUUUUGAAA